rnacentral:rRNA from 1 species
CUACGGGACGCUCCAGUGGGGAAUAUUGCACAAUGGGGGAAACCCUGAUGCAGCAACGCCGCGUGAGUGAUGAAGUAUUUCGGUAUGUAAAGCUCUAUCAGCAGGGAAGAUAAUGACGGUACCUGACUAAGAAGCUCCGGCUAAAUACGUGCCAGCAGCCGCGGUAAUACGUAUGGAGCAAGCGUUAUCCGGAUUUACUGGGUGUAAAGGGAGCGCAGACGGUGAUGCAAGUCAGAAGUGAAAGCCCGCGGCUUAACUGCGGGACUGCUUUUGAAACUGUAUGACUAGAGUGCUGGAGGGGCAAGCGGAAUUCCUGGUGUAGCGGUGAAAUGCGUAGAUAUCAGGAGGGACACCGGUGGCGAAGGCGGCUUGCUGGACAGUAACUGACGUUGAGGCUCGAAAGCGUGGGGAGCAAACAGGAUUAGAUACCCGUGUAGUC